rnacentral:rRNA from 1 species
CUGGGGGAUAGCCUUUCGAAAGGAAGAUUAAUACCCCAUAAUAUAUUUUACGGCAUCGUAAGAUAUUGAAAACUCCGGUGGAUAGAGAUGGGCACGCGCAAGAUUAGAUAGUUGGUAGGGUAACGGCCUACCAAGUCAAUGAUCUUUAGGGGGCCUGAGAGGGUGAUCCCCCACACUGGUACUGAGACACGGACCAGACUCCUACGGGAGGCAGCAGUGAGGAAUAUUGGACAAUGGGUGAGAGCCUGAUCCAGCCAUCCCGCGUGAAGGACUAAGGCCCUAUGGGUUGUAAACUUCUUUUAUACUGGGAUAAACCUACUUACGUGUAAGUAGCUGAAGGUACAGUAUGAAUAAGCACCGGCUAACUCCGUGCCAGCAGCCGCGGUAAUACGGAGGGUGCAAGCGUUAUCCGGAUUUAUUGGGUUUAAAGGGUCCGUAGGCGGAUCUGUAAGUCAGUGGUGAAAUCUCAUAGCUUAACUAUGAAACUGCCAUUGAUACUGCAGGUCUUGAGUGAGAUUGAGGUAGCUGGAAUAAGUAGUGUAGCGGUGAAAUGCAUAGAUAUUACUUAGAACACCAAUUGCGAAGGCAGGUUACCAAGUCUUAACUGACGCUGAUGGACGAAAGCGUGGGGAGCGAACAGGAUUAGAUACCCUGGUAGUCCACGCCGUAAACGAUGCUAACUCGUUUUUGGGUCUUCGGAUUCAGAGACUAAGCGAAAGUGAUAAGUUAGCCACCUGGGGAGUACGUUCGCAAGAAUGAAACUCAAAGGAAUUGACGGGGGCCCGCACAAGCGGUGGAGCAUGUGGUUUAAUUCGAUGAUACGCGAGGAACCUUACCAAGACUUAAAUGGGAAAUGACAGAUUUAGAAAUAGAUCCUUCUUCGGACAUUUUUCAAGGUGCUGCAUGGUUGUCGUCAGCUCGUGCCGUGAGGUGUUAGGUUAAGUCCUGCAACGAGCGCAACCCCUGUCACUAGUUGCUAACAUUCAGUUGAGGACUCUAGUGAGACUGCCUACGCAAGUAGAGAGGAAGGUGGGGAUGACGUCAAAUCAUCACGGCCCUUACGUCUUGGGCCACACACGUGCUACAAUGGCCAGUACAGAGGGCAGCUACCAGGUGACUGGAUGCGAAUCUCGAAAGCUGGUCUCAGUUCGGAUUGGAGUCUGCAACUCGACUCUAUGAAGCUGGAAUCGCUAGUAAUCGCGCAUCAGCCAUGGCGCGGUGAAUACGU